rnacentral:rRNA from 1 species
AACGAACGCUGGCGGCGUGCCUAACACAUGCAAGUCGUGCGAGAAAGUUCCUUCGGGAGCGAGUAAAGCGGCGCACGGGUGAGUAACACGUAGGUAACCUGCCCCCCAGUCUGGAACAACUAGAGGAAACUCUAGCUAAUGCCGGAUGAGACCACGAUCCCUUCGGGGGGUUGCGGCCAAAGAUGGCCUCUACUUGUAAGCUAUCGCUGAGGGAUGGGCCUGCGGGCCAUUAGCUUGUUGGUGAGGUAACGGCUCACCAAGGCUGUGAUGGCUAGCUGGUCUGAGAGGAUGACCAGCCACACUGGGACUGAGACACGGCCCAGACUCCUGCGGGAGGCAGCAGUGGGGAAUAUUGCGCAAUGGGCGAAAGCCUGACGCAGCGACGCCGCGUGGGUGAUGAAGGCC